CCCAGUUCAGGGAGGUAGUGACAAUAAAUACCUUACAGAGGUCUCGUUAACCGAGAUCUCUCAAACGGAAUGAGUACAACGUGAAUCCUUUAACGAGGAUCGACUGGAGGGCAAGCCUGGUGCCAGCAGCCGCGGUAAUUCCAGCUCCAGUAGCGUAUAUUAAAGCUGUUGCGGUUAAAAAGCUCGUAGUUGGAUAUCAGUGCGUGUCCGGUCCGGUAUGCCUGGCACUGUCGCUCUGCGGCAGCGCUGGGCUCCCAAAUAUCGGCUGGCCGCAUUCAAUCGUGCCGGAUCCGUCGACGGGCCGCUCUUCGGAGGGGCCUGUUGGCGACCGGCGACGUUACCUUGAACAAAUUAGAGUGCUCAAAGCAGGCUCUGUAUGCCUGUAUACAUAUUCAUGGAAUUGGAGAAUACGUCCCUGGCUCGAUUUGGUUGGUUUUGAGAGUCGAAGGGAAAUGAUUAAUAGGGACUGACGGAGGCAUUCGUAUUGCGACGCGAGGGGUGAAAUCCUGUGACCGUCGCACGACGAACUACUGCGAAAGCAUUUGCCGAGAAUGUUUUCAUUAGUCAAGAACGAAAGUUAGAGGUUCGAAGGCGAUCAGAUACCGCCCUAGUUCUAACCGUAAACGAUGUCGACCAGCAAUCCGCAACGGUCACUUAUCGGACUGUGCGGGCAGCUUCCCCGGGGAAACCAGAGUUUUUGGACUCCGGGGGAAGUAUGGUUGCAAAGCUGAAACUUAAAGGAAUUGACGGAAGGGCACCACCAGGAGUGGAGCUUGCGGCUUAAUUUGACUCAACACGGGACAACUCACCAGGCCCGGACACCGUAAGGAUUGACAGACUGAUAGCUCUCUCUUGAUUCAGUGGGUGGUGGUGCAUGGCCGUUCUUAGUUGGUGGAGUGAUUUGUCUGGUUUAUUCCGAUAACGAACGAGACUCUGGCCUAUUAAACUUGACACUGUCAGUCUCUGUGACUGCGGUGCGCUUCUUAGAGGGAUCAUCGGCGUCCCAGCCGAAGGAAAGGGAGCAAUAACAGGUCUGUGAUGCCCUUAGAUGUUCUGGGCUGCACGCGUGUUACACUGAAGUGGUCAGCGCGCCGUUCAACACCCCUCUCCGUGAGGAGCUUGGGCAAACGUUUGAACCCUUUUCGUGAUGGGAAUUGGGGGUUGCAAUUG
rnacentral:rRNA from 1 species